UACGGAGGGUGCAAACGUUGCUCGGAAUCAUUGGGCGUAAAGCGCACGUAGGCGGUCCGUUAAGUCGGAUGUGAAAGCCCCGGGCUCAACCCGGGAAGUGCAUACGAAACUGGCGGACUUGAAUAUGGAAGAGGGUCGCGGAAUUCCCGGUGUAGAGGUGAAAUUCGUAGAUAUCGGGAGGAACACCAGUGGCGAAGGCGGCGACCUGGGCCAAUAUUGACGCUGAGGUGCGAAAGCUAGGGGAGCAAACGGG
rnacentral:rRNA from 1 species